rnacentral:lncRNA from 1 species
CCGGGACUGCACGCCAUCUACGGAGAGUGCCGCCGCCUUUACCCUGACCAGCCGAACCCGCUCCAGGUUACCGCUAUCGUCAAGUACUGGUUGGGUGGCCCAGACCCCUUGGACUAUGUUAGCAUGUACAGGAAUGUGGGGAGCCCUUCUGCUAACAUCCCCGAGCACUGGCACUACAUCAGCUUCGGCCUGAGUGAUCUCUAUGGUGACAACAGAGUCCAUGACUCAGAGGCCCAGGUUUCAUCUCUUCGCUGGUCACGUGUUGGGAGCAAUGUCUGCAGCUGCCUUUACAGCCUUCCAAAUGGAUUCAUUGCAGUGUCAGCAGAAGGAUUUGGGAAGAGGGAAUUAAUCUUGCCUGAAUGGGGACCCAGCAUUACAGUAUUAAUAAUGGAGAUAGAAUAGCAAACAGAUGUGGGGAGUAAAGAGACUAUGCUGGACCUUAAUUUAUAUUUUUA